AGGACGAACGCUGGCGGCGUGCUUAACACAUGCAAGUCGAGCGGAAAGGCCACUUCGGUGGUACUCGAGCGGCGAACGGGUGAGUAACACGUGAGUAAUCUGCCCUCCACUUUGGGAUAGCCACCGGAAACGGUGAUUAAUACCGGAUAUGACCUUGGCCCGCAUGGGUUGUGGUGGAAAGUUUUUCGGUGGGGGAUGUGCUCGCGGCCUAUCAGCUUGAUGGUGGGGUAAUGGCCUACCAUGGCUUCGACGGGUAGCCGGCCUGAGAGGGUGACCGGCCACACUGGGACUGAGACACGGCCCAGACUCCUACGGGAGGCAGCAGUGGGGAAUAUUGGACAAUGGGCGAAGCCUGAUCCAGCAACGCCGCGUGAGGGAUGACGGCCUUCGGGUUGUAAACCUCUUCAGCACAGACGAAGCGAAAGUGACGGUAUGUGCAGAAGAAGCACCGGCCAACUACGUGCCAGCAGCCGC
rnacentral:rRNA from 1 species